GAUGAAGAACGUAGCGAAAUGCGAUAAGUAAUGUGAAUUGCAGAAUUCAGUGAAUCAUCGAAUCUUUGAACGCACAUUGCGCCCAUUAGUAUUCUAGUGGGCAUGCCUGUUCGAGCGUCAUUAAGUCCACUUAAGCCCUGCUUAGUGUUGGGAGACUGCUCCAGCGGUGCUACCCUGUAGCUACCCUGCAGCUCCUCAAAGACAGCGGCGGAGUUGUGGUAUCCUCUGAGCUUAGUAACUUGUUCUAGCUUUCGAGUACACCACUUCUCCUGCCGUAAAACCCUUAAUUUUUAAUGGUUGACCUCGGAUCAGGUAGGAAUACCCGCUGAACUUAAGCAUAUCAAUAAGCGGAGGA
rnacentral:misc_RNA from 1 species